AGAGACAGCAGCCGCCGCGGUAAUACAGAGGGUGCGAGCGUUAAUCGGAUUUACUGGGCGUAAAGCGUGCGUAGGCGGCUUCUUAAGUCGGAUGUGAAAUCCCUGAGCUUAACUUAGGAAUUGCAUUUGAUACUGGGAAGCUAGAGUAUGGGAGAGGAUGGUAGAAUUCCAGGUGUAGCGGUGAAAUGCGUAGAGAUCUGGAGGAAUACCGAUGGCGAAGGCAGCCAUCUGGCCUAAUACUGACGCUGAGGUACGAAAGCAUGGGGAGCAAACAGGAUUAGAUACCCGGGUAGUCCCUGUCUCUUAUAA
rnacentral:rRNA from 1 species